GAUGAACGCUGGCGGCGUGCCUAAUACAUGCGAGUCGAACGCUGGAAAUCUAGCUUGCUCGAUUGAAGGAGUGGCGAACGGGUGAGUAAUACAUAAGCAACCUACCCACGAAGACUGGGAUAAUCUCUGGAAACGGGGACUAAUACCGGAUAGGUAAUCGGAAGGCAUCUUCUGAUUAUUAAAGGUUAAAAACACUGGUGGAUGGGCUUAUGGCGCAUUAGUUAGUUGGUGAGGUAACGGCCCACCAAGACGAUGAUGCGUAGCCGGCCUGAGAGGGUGAACGGCCACAUUGGGACUGAGACACGGCCCAGACUCCUACGGGAGGCAGCAGUAGGGAAUUUUCGGCAAUGGGGGAAACCCUGACCGAGCAACGCCGCGUGAGUGAUGACGGCCUUCGGGUUGUAAAGCUCUGUUGUAAGGGAAGAACGGUAGAUAGAGAAUAUCUAAAUGACGGUACCUUACCAGAAAGCCACGGCUAACUACGUG
rnacentral:rRNA from 1 species